AUGGAGGCCGGCGGAGACGCUGCUGCCCCGGCUCCCGGGGGCGCGCAGGACUUGGAGGACACGCAGGACUUGGAGGGCACGCAGUUCCCAGGCGAGGAGGCUGGAGAUCGUGGAGUUCGGUCGGGCCCGCCGGAUCCCGGAGACGCGGACCCGGAGGAAACAGGAUCUGAAGCCAAGGAUGAGCCUCCCAGCCGCCUGUCACCGCUGCCCCAGGCAGAGGUCCCCUCAAGCACCCGUGAACACUGGAGUUCUGCAGCCUCAGACAGUAGUCCCAUUCAUGGUCCAGAGAGUGGCUCUGGGGGCCAGGCCGGGGACCCCAGUGACGAGGACUGGCGCAACCAGAGGAAGCACGUGUUCGUGCUGAGCAAGGCUGGCAAGCCCACUGCAGUGGAUUGACAACUGGUGGUCAACUUAUAACCCCCAGCUGAACUGAUAACAGUGGUUGCCGGAUGUGGAGGCACAUCCCUAUAAUCCUAACACUUGGGAAGCUGAGGCAGGGGGAUCAAAGAGCUGCAGGAAGUAGAAGCUCAGAACUCUCCCUCCCAAGGCCACUCCAUGCCUUUGAGGCUACCGGUUCAAAGGCAGCCAUUCAGCGUGGCAGGCAGGGAGCGACGUCAUGGGAAGAUGAGCACGUUAGGAGGCCUGGUGAGUUACAUGCCCUGGGAAGAGAUUUAGAAAAUUUGCAAAGAAUUUGGGGCUAAGGUAUCAUAAGUAAAUGGAGAGGAAAUGACUCAUGAAUAAACCAAUAGUUAGUUCGUUAUUUAUAUUUUUCGUUUUUUUGAGACAGUGUCUUGCUGAGUAGUGCAGGUUGGCCUUGAACACCCCCACCUGGGGACUGUUUCCAGCAGCAUAAGAGGCAGACCUAGAGAUGAAGAAUAAGGGUUUCGGGAACUAAAAAGGCUGUUGGGAGCAGAGAAAGGCUGUUGGAGCUGGUGGAAGCUGUAAGGAGCUGUUGGUUGUUUUGGAGGAGCUCGUCAUGCUGGCUUUCCUGAUGAACUGGGCUGUUUUCAUCGUCCGAAGAGCUUAGGACUUUGUUGGCACUAAGAAUGGCUUUGGUUCACUUUGGGGGAGCUCUCUGGUCCUCACUCUGAGCAUCGCUUCCUGGCUUUGGAGGGGAAGAUGGUGCACUGCCAGUCUCUGGGAGAAGCUUGCUGCGUUGGCUUCCCUGAGGAGAACUGGGCCAUUUUGAUCAUCAGAGGAGCUCGGGACCUCACUGUUGCUGAGGAUGGCUAUGGUAUCUUCCAGGGCAGCUCUGGUUCUUCUGAGCGUCGCUUCCUGGCUCCCGUGCAGAUCCCUCAGCCUGCUAGCACAGAUCCUUCAUCCCACUGGCACAGACUUCCUAGAUUCCACCACUGACCUUUGCGCCUUCGCAGCAGAUCUGUGCAACAUCCCUGCAUGAGAUAUUGUAAUGGGCUUUGAACCUCUAGGUGGACUUGUGGGCGGCAUUGUUAUGAGCUCUAGGUCUUAAAGUGGACUCAUGCAGGACAUUAUCACGGGAUCCAGGCCCUCAGCUGCAUUCUUGGGCUAUAAUGUGUGGACAGAUUUCCUCCACUCUUUUGUACAUCAUUCUUGGAGUGACUGUUAGAAAUAAUCUUAUAAAAUAUGUGUCCUGUAUUGUUUUUCUUGCAAAAUGUCCUCCAAACCAACACACCCAUUUACUCAUGGUAUGGUAGCGUGAAGUCGCUGUCAGCUACCUAGGGUGUGAUGACAGCCCGUGUGUCCUUCUUGGAGAGCGCAGGGAAUAACAUCUGUGCCAUCUAUGCUGGUGAGCAAAGGAGUGGGAACCCAUGACAGCUAUUUCAUGAAGGAUGAAUAGGAAGCCAAAAGGGGAGAGAAGUGGGAGAACACACCAAUCAGAAUGAUGUCCACAAAAGCAUGAGCAUGUGAAUGCACCCCAACUCGUUCAGAAGGCUGGGCCUGAGGUGAGGAAUGGCAGGAGAUGAAGGUAAAAAUUGUCACAUGUGGGCCAGAUCACAUUCUGUCAUCCAGAAUCUCAAGGGAUCAUUGCUCUCACCCAUGUUACGUGUGGAU
ensembl:lincRNA